rnacentral:rRNA from 1 species
AGGGUUCGAUUAUGGCUCAGAACGUACGCUGGCGGCACGCCUAACACAUGCAAGUCGAACGAAGUAGCAAUACUUAGUGGCAGACGGGUGAGUAACAUGUAGGUAUCUGCCCUUUGGCCUGGAAUAACACGAGGAAACUUGUGCUAAUACUGGAUAAGUCUUUACGGAGAAAGCUUUAUGCACCAUUGGAUGAGCCUGCACUUGAUUAGUUUGUUGGUAGGGUAAUGGCCUACCAAGACUUUGAUCAAUAGCUGAUUUGAGAGGAUGAUCAGCCACAUUGGGACUGAGACACGGCCCAAACUCCUACGGGAGGCAGCAGUGGGGAAUCUUGCACAAUGGAGGAAACUCUGAUGCAGCGAUGCCGCGUGAGUGAAGAAGGCCCUUGGGUUGUAAAGCUCUUUCGUCGGGGAAGAAAAUGACUGUACCCGAAUAAGAAGGUCCGGCUAACUUCGUGCCAGCCGCCGCGGUAAUA